CAGGUUCCGGUUCACGCCCCGAGGGGCGACCCGGCGACC
rfam:Actinobacteria bacterium 13_2_20CM_2_71_6 13_2_20cm_2_scaffold_1520, whole genome shotgun sequence.